CCUACGGGAGGCAGCAGUAGGGAAUAUUGCACAAUGGGCGAAAGCCUGAUGCAGCAACGCCGCGUGUGCGAUGAAGGCCUUCGGGUCGUAAAGCACUUUUCUGAGGGAUGAGCAAGGACAGUACCUCAGGAAUAAGUCUCGGGUAACUACGUGCCAGCAGCCGCGGUAAAACGUAGGAGGCAAGCGUUAUCCGGAUUCACUGGGCGUAAAGCGCGUGCAGGCGGUUCGGUAAGUUGGGCGUGAAAUCUCCUGGCUUAACUAGGAGAGGUCGUUCAAUACUACCGGACUUGAGAGUGAUAGAGGAAGAUGGAAUUCCCGGUGUAGUGGUGAAAUGCGUAGAUAUCGGGAGGAACACCAGUGGCGAAAGCGAUCUUCUGGAUCAUUUCUGACGCUCAGACGCGAAAGCUAAGGUAGUAAACGGGAUUAGAGACCCCGGUAAUCCUAGCCGUAAACGAUGUAAACUUGGCGUCGGUGGCUUAAACUCCAUCGGUGCCGCAGCUAACGCGAUAAGUUUACCGCCUGGGGACUACGAUCGCAAGAUUAAAACUCAAAGGAAUUGACGG
rnacentral:rRNA from 1 species